rnacentral:rRNA from 1 species
UACAGAGGUCCCAAGCGUUGUUCGGAUUCAUUGGGCGUAAAGGGUGCGUAGGCGGCGCGGUAAGUCGGGUGUGAAAUCUCGGGGCUUAACUCCGAAACUGCAUUCGAUACUGCCGUGCUUGAGGACUGGAGAGGAGACUGGAAUUUACGGUGUAGCGGUGAAAUGCGUAGAUAUCAGGAGGAACACCAAUGGCGAAGGCAGCUCGCUGGAACGGUACUGACGCUGAGGCGCGAAAGCGUGGGGAGCAAACGGG